GAUGAACGCUAGCUACAGGCUUAACACAUGCAAGUCGAGGGGCAGCGCAGUGUAGCAAUACAUGGGCGGCGACCGGCGCACGGGUGCGUAACGCGUAUCCAACUUUCCCGUUACUCAGGGAUAGCCUUCCGAAAGGGAGAUUAAUACCUGAUGGUGUUCAAAUUCCGCAUGUUAUUUGAACUAAAGAUUUAUCGGUAACGGAUGGGGAUGCGUGACAUUAGAUAGUAGGCGGGGUAACGGCCCACCUAGUCUACGAUGUCUAGGGGUUCUGAGAGGAAGGUCCCCCACACUGGAACUGAGUCACGGUCCAGACUCCUACGGGAGGCAGCAGUGAGGAAUAUUGGUCAAUGGUCGGAAGACUGAACCAGCCAAGUAGCGUGAAGGAUGAAGGUUCUAUGGAUUGUAAACUUCUUUUGUCUGAGGGUAAAAAAGCGGACGUGUCCGUUCUUGCAAGUAUCAGACGAAUAAGCAUCGGCUAACUCCGUG
rnacentral:rRNA from 1 species